rnacentral:rRNA from 1 species
GUCUACCGCCGUGGCGCGUUGAUACACCCAAUCCCUUGAUCUUAGAAGUUAAGCAACGUGCAGUCCGGUGAGUACUUGGAUGGGAGACCACCAAAGAAUCUUAAAAAUGGUACAUG